UAUCAGGUUGAUCCUGCCAGUAGUCAUAUGCUUGUCUCAAAGCUUAAGCCAUGCAAGUGUAAGUUCAUGCCGUAAACGAAUGGUGAAACCGCGAAUGGCUCAGGAACUGGACCUAAUCCUCUAACAGUGCAGCCUCAACCUCAGCCGAGCAACGAGCAAGUAGAAGC
rnacentral:ncRNA from 1 species